rnacentral:rRNA from 1 species
AUCGAACGCUGGCGGCAGGCUUAACACAUGCAAGUCGAGCGAGCGGCGGACGGGUGUGUAAUGCCUGGGAAACCGCCUGAUGGAGGGGGAUAACUACUGGAAACGGUAGCUAAUACCGCCUACCAUCCGAUGUGCUCAGAUGGGAUUAGCGAGUAGGUGGGGUAAUGGCUCACCUAAGCGACGCUCCCUAGCUGGUCCGAGAGGGUGACCAGCCACACUGGAACUGAGACACGGUCCAGACUCCUACGGAGGGCAGCAGUGGGGAAUAUUGCACAGUGGGCGCAGGCCUGAUGCAGCCAGGCCGCGUGUGUGAGGAAGGCCUUCGGGUUGUAAAGCACUUUCAGCGAGGAGACGUUACUCGCAGAAGAAGCACCGGCUAACUCCGUGCCAGCAGCCGCGGUAAUUC